rnacentral:lncRNA from 1 species
AUUUUGGCGGGAAAUGUUUUCUCUUGUUUUUUCACAUAGCUUUAUCAUUGACAAGUUUAAGUUCUCAAAGACUAUUAAAAAAUAACAAAGAUUUUAUAAGACUUUUACAGAUGGCUUAUAAUUAUUCAUGUAAAAGAUUUAUAAAAAGAAAAAAUAGGGGUAUUUGGGCACAUUUUUUCAAGGCGUUCGAACGGAUAAAACCAGAGGAUUAAAAAAAA